UAGAUCUCAGUUCGGAUUGCAGGCUGCAACCCGCCUGCAUGAAGUCGGAAUCGCUAGUAAUCGCGGGUCAGCAUACCGCGGUGAAUACGUUCCCGGGCCUUGUACACACCGCCCGUCACACCACGAGAGUUGGUAACACCCGAAGCCGGUGGCCUAACCCUUAGGGGAGGGAGCUGUCGAAGGUGGGACUGAUGAUUGGGGUGAAGUCGUAACAAGGUAGC
rnacentral:rRNA from 1 species